GACGAACGCUGGCGGCGUGCUUAACACAUGCGAGUCGAACGGAAAGGCCCCUUUGGGGGUACUCGAGUGGCGAACGGGUGAGUAACACGUGAGUAACCUGCCCUUGACUUCGGGAUAACUUCAGGAAACUGGGGCUAAUACCGGAUAGGAAUCCUUGCUGCAUGGUGGGGGUUGGAAAGCUUCGGCGGUUUUGGAUGGACUCGCGGCUUAUCAGCUUGUUGGUGGGGUAGUGGCUUACCAAGGCUUUGACGGGUAGCCGGCCUGAGAGGGCGACCGGCCACAUUGGGACUGAGAUACGGCCCAGACUCCUACGGGAGGUAGCAGUGGGGAAUAUUGCACAAUGGGCGGAAGCCUGAUGCAGCAACGCCGCGUGCGGGAUGACGGCCUUCGGGUUGUAAACCGCUUUCAGCAGGGGCGAAGCUUGUGGUGACGGUACCUGCAGAAGAAGCACCGGCUAACUACGUG
rnacentral:rRNA from 1 species